rnacentral:lncRNA from 1 species
AGAUGAAAAAACAAGAAAGAGCUUUUGCUGUACUGAACUUCAAACCCGAAGACUUUGGGUUUAUUUCCUCUACCCUGGCACCCCCAGGGUGCUGAGAUCUGAACUUGCACCAUUUGCUUAUCUGGAGGACAGAAGCCCUGAACUCUACCUGCCCAAACCCAGCUUCCUUCUGUUUGUGGGCAUGGUCCCUUGGGAUACUGGUAGAUAAAAGAAGACGAGAGAGGAGUGGGUAAAAGCUGGAGGAGAGUUGGGGAGACAGAGGAGAGGAAAGGGGUGGAGGAAACCCUGAGAAUUCAGAAAGUGGCAACCUAGCCCCCCCAGUGGCAUUUGGACAGAGUCUAGGUUUGGCAAGCUCUGGGCAGGGUCCUCUGGGGAAAUGGCCCUGGAAAACACAGGAAAAAGGAACUCGGUAUCCUAAACAGUGCACCCCUAUACCUGGAAACAUAGGACAGCUCUUGCCCACUGCCACCUUGCCCACGGUACUGUACUACGAACACCCUGAAAACGCCCACAUGUGUGAACUGUGUCUGUUUUCAAAUGGGCCUUGUGGCUUCUCCGUCUUCCAAGCAUACUUAUUGAAUUGUUGUUGAUAUUUUUAUUGUCAUGUUGCCUUGAGUUCUGAUGAGAAAAAGCAGAGCCUAUAAAGAAAGGAAUGAAGAACUAU